GACAGAGGGUGCAAACGUUGUUCGGAAUUACUGGGCGUAAAGCGAGUGUAGGCGGUUUGGUAAGUCGGAUGUGAAAGCCCCGGGCUCAACCCGGGAAGUGCACUCGAUACUGCCAAGCUAGAGUAUCGGAGAGGUUGGUGGAAUUCUCGGUGUAGAGGUGAAAAUUCGUAGAUAUCGAGAGGAACACCGGUGGCGAAGGCGGCCAACUGGACGAAUACUGACGUGAGAACUGAAAGCGUGGGGGAGCAAAACAGG
rnacentral:rRNA from 1 species